ACCUUUGUAUGUUCAUUUCCUCAA
rnacentral:siRNA from 1 species